GUCAGGAUGGCCGAACGGUCUAAGGCGCUGCGAUGAGGUCGCAGCCUCCAUUGGAGCCGUGGGUUCGACUCCCACUUCUGACA